CCUACGGGUGGCAGCAGUGAGGAAUAUUGGUCAAUGGACGAGAGUCUGAACCAGCCAAGUAGCGUGAAGGAUGACUGCCCUAUGGGUUGUAAACUUCUUUUAUAUGGGAAUAAAAUGUUCCACGUGUGGGAUUUUGUAUGUACCAUAUGACUAAGGAUCGGCUAACUCCGUGUCAGCAGCCGCGGUAAUACGGAGGAUCCGAGCGUUAUCCGGAUUUAUUGGGUUUAAAGGGAGCGUAGGUGGAUUGUUAAGUAAGUUGUGAAAGUUUGGGGCUCAACCGGAAAAUUGCAGUUGAAACUGGCAGUCGUGAGUACAGUAGAGGUGGGCGGAAUUCGGGGUGUAGCGGUGAAAUGCUUAGAUAUCACGAAGAACUCCGAUUGCGAAGGCAGCUCACUGGACUGCAACUGACACUGAGGCUCGAAAGUGUGGGUAUCAAACAGGAUUAGAUACCCGUGUAGUC
rnacentral:rRNA from 1 species